AUUGAAUUCAAUAGACCAUUUGCUAUCCAACUUGAUGUAUCAAGUCAUUGCAGAAUCGACUUUAAAGGCUGAUCAGUUAAGAUAAUAACUGAAUGAGCUAGAAAAUAAGGCUGAAGUCAUUGGACCAAUGUGAUAAGAGCAUAAAUUAUUUUCUCUACCUUAGCAUACUGGGUUUCAGCAUCUUAUAGUAAUUUGCUUGUAUAGU
rnacentral:lncRNA from 1 species